rnacentral:lncRNA from 1 species
CAAGGACGCCAUCUUCCUGCCAAACGCUACACCGCCCUGCCGCAGACCGGCGACCCUGCGGAGGGAUUUGUGAGCCCUGAGUCAAUUCUGCCAAGGCUGUAAGAGGAGGAUAUGGCAGUGCUCUGGAGAAAACAGAUAUGCUGGCAGAUCUUCUUCUUUUUCCACAUUGGUCAUCCUGGCACGCUGCAGGAAUUCCCAGACAGGACGGUGAGAAUGACAUUAGCUGCCCCAGCAACUGACUUGUGGAUUAGAAUUCGAGACUCAGACACCAUGGAAACGCAGAAUCACGGAGCCAUAGAACUCAAGCGAGAGAAGAGAGUUUGCGUGAUAGAACACCUUGCUUCAAGACACGAAGACAUCUUUCCCCAAUCGGGGAUAUUUUCUCUUUUUUAUAGUAGAAAUGAAAAUGAGCGUAUUGUUAUACAACAGAGAAACAUGCCACUAUUCACCUGUUGCUGAAAUAAUUAUUAUAUAUUCCUGGUGAAUUGAACUUUUAUAAUUCUAAAGUGGUCCUACCUAUGUGUAGUUAUUCUUUGUUCUGUAAAGUCUACUUGACUAAUUUUAGCAUAGCUUUCCUUUUGUUAGAUUUUUAUGGUGCUUUUCCCCAGACUUUUUAAUUUCAUCUUUUAGUUGUCUUUAUAUUUAAGUUGUGUCUCAUAUAAGGAUCGUGUAGCUCAGUAUUUUAUCCAAC